rnacentral:rRNA from 1 species
GUGGGGAAUCUUCCGCAAUGGACGAAAGUCUGACGGAGCAACGCCGCGUGAGUGAAGAAGGUUUUCGGAUCGUAAAGCUCUUUCGUUAGGGACGAACGUGCUCUUUGUGAAUAAUGAGGAGUAAUGACGGUACCUAAAUAAGAAGCCACGGCUAACUACGUGCCAGCAGCCGCGGUAAUACGUAGGUGGCAAGCGUUGUCCGGAAUUAUUGGGCGUAAAGCGCGCGCAGGCGGGAUAUCAAGUCUGUCUUAAAAGUGCGAGGCUCAACCUCGUGAGGGGACAGAAACUGGUAUUCUUGAGUGUCGGAGAGGAAAGUGGAAUUCCUAGUGUAGCGGUGAAAUGCGUAGAUAUUAGGAAGAACACCAGUGGCGAAGGCGACUUUCUGGACGAAAACUGACGCUGAGGCGCGAAAGCCAGGGGAGCGAACGGGAUUAGAAACCCUUGUAGUCC